ACGGGCAUUGCCCUCAGUAACGGCGAGUGAAGCGGCAACAGCUCAAAUUUGAAAUCUGGCCUCUUGGGGUCCGAGUUGUAAUUUGUAGAGGAUGUUUCGGGUACCGCCUCGGUUUAAAUUUCUUGGAACAGAAUGUCAAAGAGGGUGAGAAUCCCGUCUUGGACCGGCGGUAGGGCCUAUGUGAAACUCCUUCGACGAGUCGAGUUGUUUGGGAAUGCAGCUCAAAAUGGGUGGUAAAUUUCAUCUAAAGCUAAAUAUUGGCCAGAGACCGAUAGCGCACAAGUAGAGUGAUCGAAAGAUGAAAAGCACUUUGAAAAGAGAGUUAAACAGUAUGUGAAAUUGUUGAAAGGGAAGCGCUUGCAACCAGACUUGAGCGCGGCGGUUCCCCCUUGCUUCUGCUUGGGUUACUCCGCCGUGUCCAGGCCAACAUCGGUUCUGGGGGUCGGUCAAAGGCUCUGGGAAUGUAUCUACCCACGGGUAGACUUAUAGACCAGGGUGUCAUGCGACCUCCCGGGACCGAGGAACGCGCUUCGGCUCGGAUGUUGGCGUAAUGGUUGUCAGCGACCCGUCUUGAACCAACCGGACC
rnacentral:rRNA from 1 species